ACAAACCCUACAGUUCCGAAGGAAACAUUAUUUUUGAGUGCCUGCAACUUUUCAAGGGGCUAGACUUUCUACCAAUUUUAUUUUUAUACUCGGAUAAGGAGGAACAAAAUGGAGCAUUUUAUAAUUGACAACAACAGCGUACCAUUGCGCGAUGUAGGUGAAAAAGAAAACAGGAGCCAAGGCGGUCAGUUGGAUUGUGUACCAAAGAAAAGUUCCCAUAUCAGUAGAUCGAGAACCAAUAUGACCGGAUCGGAUGAAUCAGCAUCACCAUCAAAAAAAGCACACCGACCCAAAUCACGGAUUCCCUACAAUCGUUUGCAUUCAUGUCCAAGGAAAUAUAUAUCCGGAAACCAAUAUGCUUUCAAUGAGGACUCCAUAGCUCCACUUUCGAAUGAGAAAUCUAUAGCCAAAAGCGUCGUAGCUCCACUUCCAAAAAGUAAAUCUAUAUCCGAAAGAGUCAAAGCUCCAUCUCCGAAUAAGAAAUCUAUAGCCGAAAGCGUCAUGGCUCUGACUCUCAAUGGGAAAUCCACAUCCGAAAGCGUUUUAUAUCCACUUCCGAAUGGGAAACCUAUAUCCGAAAGCACGGAGAAUAGUCAUAGUCAUAGCAAGCCUGUAAAUGAUAGAUAUCGCUCUAUAUCCGCAGAAAGCCUAGAUUUCAAGGGCUUCGAGUUGAAAAAUGCAAAUCCACUUCCGAAUGGGGAAUCCAUAUCCGAAAAUGUCCUAGCUCCACUUCCGAGUGGGAAAUCUAUUUCCGAAGAAGUCAUAGCUCCGUCUCCGAAUGGGAAAUCUAUGGCCGAAAGCACGGAAGAAAAAUCUAGAUAUCGCUUCUUAUCCGCAGUUAGUUUAUAUAUCAGGGGCUUUGAAUUAAGGAAGGCAAGUAAGCUUAUCGUUAAGAAAAGCGGUGUGAUGAUAUUCAUUACUCGUAUAUCAAAGUCAAGUUUAGUGACUCUGGGUAUGUUCAGUACGCUCUUUCUGAUUUGGGCCUGUGAUUUCGAAGAACCAAUUGCCAGGAUUAAAAAGGCAAUGAGCGAUGUACUCAACGAACGUUCCCGUGCCAAAUGCUAAUCUAUAUGAGUACAUUGUUGAACAAAAAUUCCAAAAUUUACAGUAUCUAUUUGUGGCAAAAAAAUAAAAUAAAAAAUAUUCUUUUGCGAUCAAAAUUAUAAUGUUGAAUCACAUCUCAUUUGGCAAUCUGUGGCAUUGUUCAAUCCAUUUUCGAAGCCAUAACAAAUGACACUUUUAAUCAUUGCAUAUUAACGGACUAAGCCCUGACCGAUACCCGCACGUCGUGCCCACUGAUUUAUGGCCCAGACAGCGACAUCCAACCAAAAAUAACCCAUUAACUAAAUCCGCAUUUAAUAAAUGCCAGCCAGCGGCAGCGAGAAGGUAACAAAAGGGUUAAGACUGCCAAGGGAUUGGGAUAGGGAUCCGCCAAGUUGGCAGUUACAAGUUCCAACUUACAAGACCGGCAAAUUAAUCACGCUGACGACUGCGACGUGGUUGAUGAUAUUGGUCGACUGAUGCUGACAUUGAGGAGCUGCCAGCCGCACCAGCCAUCAGUUAGCCAAGUAUCCCCAUCCCCAAGCCCAAUCCCCAAUCCCCAUCCCAAUGGAUACUGUGCCGAGCAACCAAGUAUCCCACUGUGCCGGGGGCAUCAAUCUGCGGUCGAGUCUCAACUUUCGGGCAAUGUGACACGUGUGGAAUGCAGCCAGAAAUCGGAAUCAGAAGCGUUGACAUGACAACUCGAGAUGAGGGGAUCGCGAUAAGGACAACCACUUUCUAUGGCACGAGCAUGGAAAACCUUUUUAGAUCCAAGCAUUGCUUAACAAUUUUUCCAGCUUGAACUUUACACUACCAGAUGUGAGCAUUGAGAAAAACCUGAUAAUAUAAACCAAUAAUAAAAUAUAAAUUUGUAUAUGC
ensembl:ncRNA lncRNA:CR42850 long non-coding RNA:CR42850